rnacentral:rRNA from 1 species
GAUGAACGCUAGCGGCAGGCUUAAUACAUGCAAGUCGAGGGGCAGCAGGACUGUAGCAAUACAGUUGCUGGCGACCGGCAAACGGGUGCGGAACACGUACGCAACCUACCCAAAACUGGGGGAUAGCCCGGGGAAACCCGGAUUAAUACCUCGUAACCUUUUUAAGUGGCAUCACUUGAUAAGUAUAGCUCCGGCGGUUUUGGAUGGGCGUGCGCCUGAUUAGGUAGUUGGUGCGGGUAACGGCCCACCAAGCCUGCGAUCAGUAACUGGUGUGAGAGCACGACCAGUCACACGGGCACUGAGACACGGGCCCGACUCCUACGGGAGGCAGCAGUAAGGAAUAUUGGCCAAGGGACGCAAGUCUGAACCAGCCAUGCCGCGUGAAGGAUGAGGGUCCUCUGGAUUGUAAACUUCUUUUAUGGGGGACGAAACCCGGAUAUUCUUAUCCGAUUGACGGUACCUCAGGAAUAAGCACCGGCUAACUCCGUG